AGAGUUUGAUCCUGGCUGAGAACGAACGCUGGCGGCAGGCCUAACACAUGCAAGUCGAGCGCGCCUUCGGGCGAGCGGCGGACGGGUUAGUAACGCGUGGGAACGUGCCCAGAUCUACGGAAUAGCCACUGGAAACGGUGAGUAAUACCGUAUACGCCCUUCGGGGGAAAGAUUUAUCGGAUCUGGAUCGGCCCGCGUUAGAUUAGGUAGUUGGUGGGGUAACGGCCUACCAAGCCUACGAUCUAUAGCUGGUUUUAGAGGAUGAUCGACAACACUGGGACUGAGACACGGCCCAGACUCCUACGGGAGGCAGCAGUGGGGAAUCUUGGACAAUGGGGGCAACCCUGAUCCAGCCAUGCCGCGUGAGUGAAGAAGGCCCUAGGGUCGUAAAACUCUUUCGCCUGUGAUGAUAAUGACAGUAGCAGGUAAAGAAACCCCGGCUAACUCCGUGCCAGCAGCCGCGGUAAUACGGAGGGGGUUAGCGUUGUUCGGAAUUACUGGGCGUAAAGCGCACGUAGGCGGAUUAGAAAGUUAGAGGUGAAAUCCCGGGGCUCAACCCCGGAACUGCCUUUAAAACUACUAGUCUAGAGUUCGAGAGAGGUGAGUGGAAUUCCGAGUGUAGAGGUGAAAUUCGUAGAUAUUCGGAGGAACACCAGUGGCGAAGGCGGCUCACUGGCUCGAUACUGACGC
rnacentral:rRNA from 1 species